ACUCAGCAGCUUCUAGGCUUUCUCUGCCCCAAUUUCUGAACAUGAACCACAGCUGAAAAUAGGAGGAAACAGCCACAUAUGCUCACAUAGCCAGGAUACGAUGCAUCCCACCUACCCCUCUGCAGUGAUUAUAGAUGGAACUGAAGACGAUGCACUUAGACCAACCUUUACAAAGCCAAAUAAAGGUGAGAUCAGUGCAACCCUCCUUUCUGAACCCCCAGGCUCUACUGUAACCAUUUAAUAUCCUAUCCCGAAUGAGUCAGUUUAGAUUAUUAUACAUUCUUAAGGAACAAAGACAUUUCUGGUUUGGCUGUGCUUUUAUCCACUUAGCAUUCAUAUUUACAGGAGUAUUUAACUGACCUGCUAGCAGUUCCGUUAUUAAAUGUCCUUCUGCAAUCCUUAUACUUCCUGGAAAUGUAAAGGUGAGCAAGGGAGAUCUGCCCUGCCUUGAACUUAUACUGGCAUCAGCAGAGAAGUGUCCUAACUUUGGCAAAGUUAAGUUACAUGAUGCACUUCUGGAAAGGUAAAAUUAAGACCCAAAAUUAAUCUUGUAGGGGGCUGAAUCAAAUUCAGUUGGUUUCAGACGACAAAUAAAGUGGGGAAAAAUGGUUGGAAAAUCUAACAGUAUUUGUGCUCAGAUGCUUAAAAACAAUACUCGUGGCUCUCUUUUCAUCGACUGCUUAAGAAUUGAUCAGCCUCAGGAAAAUGAACCCACAAAAUACAUGUAGGAAAUCCCAGAAUGAGAGGAAAUAAUUCAUUUUAGAUUCAAUGAUUUGUGUUCCAAAAUGACUGUCGUCUUGUUGUCUAAGAAAAAUAAGUAAUAAAUCUGUUUAUGUUCCAGCAUUUC